rnacentral:rRNA from 1 species
UACGUAGGGUGCAAGCGUUGUCCGGAAUUAUUGGGCGUAAAGAGCGUGUAGGCGGCCAGGUAGGUGGGUUGUGAAAACUGGAGGCUCAACCUUCAGAGGUCGACCGAAACCAUCUGGCUAGAGUCCGGGAGAGGAGAGUGGAAUUCCUGGUGUAGCGGUGAAAUGCGCAGAUAUCAGGAAGAACACCCGUGGCGAAAGCGGCUCUCUGGAACGGUACUGACGCUGAGACGCGAAAGCGUGGGGAGCGAACAGG